rnacentral:rRNA from 1 species
AUUGAACGCUGGCGGCAUGCCUUACACAUGCAAGUCGAACGGUAACAGGUCUUCGGAUGCUGACGAGUGGCGAACGGGUGAGUAAUACAUCGGAACGUGCCUAGUAGUGGGGGAUAACUACUCGAAAGAGUGGCUAAUACCGCAUGAGAUCUACGGAUGAAAGCAGGGGAUCGCAAGACCUUGUGCUACUAGAGCGGCCGAUGGCAGAUUAGGUAGUUGGUGGGAUAAAAGCGUACCAAGCCGACGAUCUGUAGCUGGUCUGAGAGGACGAUCAGCCACACUGGGACUGAGACACGGCCCAGACUCCUACGGGAGGCAGCAGUGGGGAAUUUUGGACAAUGGGUGAAAGCCUGAUCCAGCAAUGCCGCGUGCAGGAUGAAGGCCUUCGGGUUGUAAACUGCUUUUGUACGGAACGAAAAGCCCCGGGUUAAUACCCUGGGGUCAUGACGGUACCGUAAGAAUAAGCACCGGCUAACUACGUGCCAGCCGCCGCAGUAA